UUAAAGCUGAUGAACGGGACAAGUAGGCGGAGACACUGUUCAGAGAACCCGGGAUUGGUGCGAGCCGGGUACAGUAAGAACCGCUCCAAUAUCACCCCGGAGGCGACGGCUUAAAUCCUGAUUUGGUGCCAGGAGAGUAAGCCGGUACGGCAGCCGCCGUUACAGGCAACCAAAGAGGGCCCGGCUUUUUAUGGCAUGCCGGUCCUAUUAGGGUGGUACCGCGGAAAAAAUCCGUCCCUUUA
rnacentral:ncRNA from 1 species